CGACGCCGCGUGAGUGAUGAAGGCCUUAGGGUCGUAAAGCUCUGUUGUACGGGAAGAAAAAAAUGACGGUACCGUAUAAGAAAGGAUCGGCUAACUUCGUGC
rnacentral:rRNA from 1 species